GCACCUAUGGAUUAACGGUUAGAUCAUCUGUCCCCACUUAAUUGCGUCAGACAGAGGUCGGGGGUUCGAUUCCCCUGUGGGGGCA